rnacentral:lncRNA from 10 species
AAAUGUCUCCGCAAAAUUUAAUUGGCAGUUUGUUUCAUGUCCAGCAAUCAAAGACAUUAAGGACCACUAAUAUUUACAUCCAUGAAUUCAUUUAGACAGUUUUCUUUAAUUGAUGAUGAAGACACUACAAUUCUAAGUACCAGACAGAAUCAGGAAAAAAAAAAUUGAAAAUAAGCAUAACACUAUAAAGAAAACUUGGAAAAGUGAAACACUUCUAAAUAAAAAAUAUAUACCUGGCCUGGCACCCAUUACAUAUAUACAUAAUACAUGUUAUAAACAUAUAUACAGUAAAUGUUUUGGUAGCAAUACAGACCAUGCAUUGGUCUUUGUGUACACAGAUGAAGUAGCACCGGGGCAGCACCACCAUCUUAAGAUGAUAAACCAAACUGCACAUACAUUAAAUGAAAAUACAUAUAUGUUUAAUUUGGCCCACCCUGUAGCCAAGAGGUGUAAGGAAAGUACUUUGCAAGAAAAAAUUGUUUUGGGAACUACAUUCUUAAGCCAAUGGUGAAGUUCUAAAAAGAAAAAGAAAAAAAAAACCCUACAAAUGUCUAUGCAAAUAUGGACAAGUUUUCCUGUUUACUGAAUUUGUCCUAUCCUAUGGCAUACUCGUUAACAGCAUAAGCAAAGAGAGAUUUAAAUGCCAAGUGAAUGGCAGAAGUCUAAAACACCAGAUCUUUUGGUGUAUACGUCACAAAUGGCAAGUCAUACACAAACUAGAAAAGAAAGCUAACUCUCCACCUAAGUCAUGUGUUUUCUAGUCAUGUUAGCUAAUUAUAAGCUCUUUAUUCAUAAUUAAUUCCUCGAGUAGGGUUAAGCACCUCCAAUAUCAUUCCACCUCCUCCCUGCCCCUAAUGUGAUGCUCUGUUUACAAGUAGUGGGAGACACACAACAGGCUACCCAUUCUUCUUCCCAUUCCUACCAAAAGGGUCACAUCUCUCCCC